rnacentral:rRNA from 1 species
GGCAAUGGGCGCAAGCCUGAUGCAGCCAUGCCGCGUGUAUGAAGAAGGCCUUCGGGUUGUAAAGUACUUUCAGCGGGGAAGAAGGGAGUAAAGUUAAUACCUUUGCUCAUUGACGUUACCCGCAGAAGAAGCACCGGCUAACUCCGUGCCAGCAGCCGCGGUAAUA